GCACCCACCUGCACUUCUGCACACCUGGGUGGGCUCCAGGUGUGGCUGAGACUGCCAGCAAGGACGGGAGUGCCAGUAGGGUCACCAAGCCCAAGGAAGCCAGUGGUCCCGUGGGUUGUGGAUCUUUGGCAGGACCCACAGCUGACUGUGCAGCCUCCAGGAGGUGAAACCAGUCCAGCCGAAAGCAGAGGGACAAACRGCACACAACGGCCACGUAAAUCAAAGCGCAAGCCGACCAGAAAGAGAACGCGAAGUCUAACAAGUUUAUCCCUGGAUGAGAUGAUUCGUGCCCUGGAAGCACCUGUUUCUCUCCCCCAACUCAGAUGCUGUCCACUUUUCGCUGGAGGACUCCGUCUCCAAGACACUAGGAUGCCUGGACAGGCAGAGAGCCCAGGAGGACAGGAGCAGCCCCCCAGCUUUCCAGGUGCCGUGCUCACCCCUGGGGCGCCCGGGAGGC
rnacentral:lncRNA from 1 species